rnacentral:rRNA from 1 species
UACGGGGGGGGGCAAGCGUUGUUCGGAAUUACUGGGCGUAAAGGGCUCGUAGGCGGCCAACUAAGUCAGACGUGAAAUCCCCAGGCUUAACCUGGGAACUGCGUCUGAUACUGGAUGGCUUGAAUUCGGGAGAGGGAUGCAGAAUUCCAGGUGUAGCGGUGAAAUGCGUAGAUAUCUGGAGGAACACCGGUGGCGAAGGCGGCAUCCUGGACCGGCAUUGACGCUGAGGCGCGAAAGCCAGGGGAGCAAAGCGGG